CAGCAUGUGAUGUAAUUGACUGGAUGAUCAGACAUGGAUAUCCCUUUACAGGUCUGAGGGAAGAAACAUGAUGCUGAUGUGGAUUUUGGUGGUGACCACACUGCUUGUCAGUGAUGUGGCAGUCUCAAUUCCUAUCCAACAAAAUGGGAAUGAUCCCGUGGACAUGAAGCAGCGAUGGUCCCCGCAUUACAGUCUAA